rnacentral:lncRNA from 1 species
CUCUCCCUGCGCGCCCCACCCCCCCGGCCCUCUCUGUCUCUGUGUCUGUCUUUUUCCAGCUCUCUCUCCUGUUCCCACUUCAACUGCGGCCUGGCCCCAGCCAGAGGAGGAUUGUGUGAUCUCCCUGGCUGAGCCCUUAACACUGCUCUUCUGUGAGCAGACCCUUCCACCUUCCAGGGAAAGCAGCUCUAGGAAUGUGUGUUUCCCAAAGCCGCUUGUCUCCACUUGAGCCCUCCCUCCGCCCACAGGCUCGGCAGGGAUGUGCCGCCCACGGUCGAGCCUCCGCUCCCGAGAGCGUGCCUGGAGGAAUACUCCUGGACCUGCGCCACGGACGUCGGCCAGUCCAAGUCCUGCUGGACUCAGUCGAGCAGUGCCGUCUUCUGCUUCCAGGGCCUGGCCGUCUCCUCCCUGGCAGACACCCCCAGCCAACACACCGAUCCGGAGGACGACGGGGGCGUCCAAGACGGCCUGUGUUGCAGGUAACUCGGAAGAAUCCCGGGACUCCAUUGGAAGGGGCCAUCUGGGCAUCUCCGAUCGAGGGAGUUCAGCGAGCGCUGACUAUCCCCGUUUCCCCCACGCACGCAACCGCCAAGUGUCCCUUUCCCAGAGUGCUCUGUGUUUCUCACCGUGGUCCUCGGAUGGGCCAAUUCCGUGAUCUCUCUCCAGUGUGGUCACGUGCGGUCAGAUGCCGGAGGUGUGCUCAUCUGUCGGCGGAUGGCGUGCGCUCUCCCGUUCUCUCUUUCUUCUGUCACCCAGCGGGGGACGCAUGUCUGCCUCUGCCCGGUUGCCGUUCCCACGGUGGCGGCUAUUUCCCGGCCAAGACGGUCCUUCGUGACCCAAGUCCGCAUCAUGCCCCAGUAGGGAGAGAGGCAGACCUUGCAGCUUCCAGAUUUCUGGGAGUCGACAGUGGUGCCAGAGCCAGGCAGGGUUCACUUGGCAGCUGUCUGUGCAUUUCCACCAACUGGAUGCAAGAGUGUUGACGCCGCCUUUAGGGUCCUCUGAGUGUGUGGGUGUGUGAUGACUCUUGUGGAGUGGAGGCGCUCGUCCUCCUUGCUCAAGAGCUCAUUUUCUGCUCGGUGCUCUGAGCAAGCUCUGCUCGCUCUCUCCUCCUCUGUCUCUGUCUGUGUGUCUGUCUCUCUCCCUCUCUCUCUCUGUGUCUCUCUCUGUCUGUCUCUCUGUCUCUGUCUCUGUCUCUGUGUCUGUGUCUGUGUCUGUGUCUGUCUGUCUGUCUCUCGUCGGCUCACGCUGGAUCGCUCGCUCUCUCGCGCUCUCUGUCUCUCUCCCUGCGCGCCCCACCCCCCCGGCCCUCUCUGUCUCUGUCUCUGUCUUUUUCCAGCUCUCUCUCCUGUUCCCACUUCAACUGCGGCCUGGCCCCAGCCAGAGGAGGAUUGUGUGAUCUCCCUGGCUGAGCCCUUCCCAUUGCUCUUCUGUGAGCAGACCCUUCCACCUUCCAGAGAAAGCAGCUCUAGGAAUGUGUGUUUCCCAAAGCCGCUUGUCUCCACUUGAGCCCUCCCUCCGCCCACAGGCUCGGCAGGGAUGUGCCGCCCACGGUCGAGCCUCCGCUCCCGAGAGCGUGCCUGGAGGAAUACUCCUGGACCUGCGCCACGGACGUCGGCCAGUCCGAGUCCUGCUGGACUCAGUCGAGCAGUGCCGUCUUCUGCUUCCAGGGCCUGGCCGUCUCCUCCCUGGCAGACACCCCCAGUGAGUAUUGCCGCUGUGCAGGGGAUAAGGCUCCAGCUGGACUCCCUGGGCGGUCGGUGUCCUUGGCAUGCCAGCCCUCGGGCUGUGCAGACAGACACAUUGAAGGGAAUCAGGCUGGAGGACAGAGUUGGAAGCACAGACGGGAGACGCUUGAGGGAGCUGCGCUCCCUUCCUUCUUGCCAGGAUGCGCCCAGGUGCCCCUGGCCCCAGUGACACAUCACGGGACCCAAAGCCGGCAGGACAAACUCAGCUCCCCUGUGCCGCACGUAGCGCCAGGGC